rnacentral:rRNA from 1 species
GACGAACGCUGGCGGCAUGCCUAACACAUGCAAGUCGAGCGAGCAGAUCCCUUCGGGGUGAAGCUAGCGGCGGACGGGUGAGUAACACGUGGGCAACCUGCCUCAUAGAGGGGAAUAGCCUUCCGAAAGGAAGAUUAAUACCGCAUAAGAUUGUAGCUACGCAUGAAGCAGCAAUUAAAGGAGCAAUCCGCUAUGAGAUGGGCCCGCGGCGCAUUAGCUAGUUGGUGAGGUAACGGCUCACCAAGGCGACGAUGCGUAGCCGACCUGAGAGGGUGAUCGGCACAUUGGGACUUAGACACGGCCCAGACUCCUACGGGAGGCAGCAGUGGGGAAUAUUGCACAAUGGGGGAAACCCUGAUGCAGCAAUGCCGCGUGAGUGAUGACGGCCUUCGGGUUGUAAAGCUCUGUCUUCGGGGACGAUAAUGACGGUACCCGAGGAGGAAGCCACGGCUAACUACGUGCCAGCCGCCGCCGUAAUAC